rnacentral:rRNA from 1 species
UACGGGGGGGGCAAGCGUUGUUCGGAAUUACUGGGCGUAAAGGGCUCGUAGGCGGCCAACUAAGUCGGAUGUGAAAUCCCCAGGCUCAACCUGGGAACUGCAUCCGAUACUGGAUGGCUUGAAUUCGGGAGAGGGAUGCAGAAUUCCAGGUGUAGCGGUGAAAUGCGUAGAGAUCCGGAGGAACACCGAAGGCGAAGGCAGUGUCCUGGCGAGUGACUGACGCUGAGGUGCGAAAGCCAGGGGAGCGAACGGG